rnacentral:rRNA from 1 species
AUUGAACGCUGGCGGCAGGCCUAACACAUGCAAGUCGAACGGUAACAGGAAGAAGCUUGCUUCUUUGCUGACGAGUGGCGGACGGGUGAGUAAUGUCUGGGAAACUGCCUGAUGGAGGGGGAUAACUACUGGAAACGGUAGCUAAUACCGCAUAACGUCGCAAGACCAAAGAGGGGGACCUUCGGGCCUCUUGCCAUCGGAUGUGCCCAGAUGGGAGUAGCUAGUAGGUGGGGUAACGGCUCACCUAGGCGACGAUCCCUAGCUGGUCUGAGAGGAUGACCAGCCACUCUGGAACUGAGACACGGUCCAGACUCCUACGGGAGGCAGCAGUGGGGAAUAUUGCACAAUGGGCGCAAGCCUGAUGCAGCCAUGCCGCGUGUAUGAAGAAGGCCUUCGGGUUGUAAAGUACUUUCAGCGGGGAGGAAGGGAGUAAAGUUAAUACCUUUGCUCAUUGACGUUACCCGCAGAAGAAGCACCGGCUAACUCCGUG